rnacentral:lncRNA from 1 species
CGGCACAACACACACGUUCUGGUGCUGGAGAUCCUGCCCUGGCUGAGCUUCUGGACCUGGUGGGGAGAAAUCCACAAUGAGUACUGAGACGACCGGCAAAAGCCCGGUGAAGGCACCUAGGAGUAGGGCCUGCUUACCCUGGAGGAGUCGGGAGCAGCUUCCACAGCAAGGAGGCUUCUAAGGCCAAGCUGUCACGCAAGGAAGCGGCCACGCGAGGGCGUGAUCUACCAGGGAUCCGUGCCUGGGUCUGUGCAUCCUCCCUUCUGCAGCCAGAAGAAACCCCUUUGAAGAAGCGGGUGGAUGACAAGCUUGCAAUACACCGGGGAGGGGAGCAGCAUCCCCAGAGGCUUUUCCAUGCACCCUCUUUCUGAGCAGCUCUGGAUACCCUGGGUCAGCUCCCACACAAAUUGCUCAUAACUCAUUAGUCACCCUUAAAAUUAAUCUCUCCAACAGUGACAUCCUGUACUCAGGCGGUGUCUUAACCCCCUGAAAAUGCCUUCGUGGCAAUGUCCCUGUGGCAUAAGCAUGCCCCAUUUUGCAAGGGAGGGAAUUAAAUUUCAGAGAAGUUAAGCGAUCCAGGGAAUUUCAGUAGCAGAAAUAAGUCUAGAACGGAGAUUACCCAACUUGACUCAAAUGGCAAAACGUUUGUCAUGGGGAAUUUAAUUCUUUAAACCUUUUCGUUGCUUUAUCUCCUUGCUUGGAAUAUUCACCAUCCAUGUGCCCACUAAAUCCUGACUGCUCUGAGACCACGUUCUUCAUGCCAGUCUUAUCUCCCGUGCCUCCUGGGCUUAGGAAUCUGAUGAGCCUGAGUGUGGAUCUGGGUCCUGCCCCCUGACUGUGUGGGGUUACCCGGAUUCCCUGAACUUCGGUCUCCCCUCAUGGAAAAUGGGGAUGGUAUGCCUUCCUACAUGAAGGCGAUCUCAAUAUAGUUACCAGCUGGCGACUAUACAGGCAGUUGUCAGUCAGCCUGUGGGACACAUGGGUGGCUGGAUCAGUCUGGCAGGAGCAGGUGGAGAGAAUUACCAGGUGAUAUGCUGACCCCACGAGGACCAAGGACCGCACUGCUCAAGCCUUCACCUGCCACUUGGCAUUAAAGCCUCUUUACCCUUGUCUCCCCAACCGGACAAUACAUUCCUAGGUGGGAGGGCCCCUGCCUUUCACUGCUGCUGUCUUGGAGCUAGGCAAUGUAAUUUCAUGUAUCAGAUGACGGCUGUCAAGCACUAAGUUUUGUUUGUUCCUUCUGCUGUCUCCUAAGUUCACAAAUAAACAACAGCCCUGAGAAUCCUCAUGGCGGCUUUGGAACCUCGAGCAUCAUAAAGUAUAUUCGGGAGUCCGGAGGGCCUUGGCUCCCUUGUGCUGGCAGGGCAGAAUGAAGCUGGGUGCAUUGUGUGUGCCCCACCAGCACAAGCGCUAGCAUUUGUCUCAAUGCCGGGGAUUCCUGGAGCACCCGCUGUUCUCUAGACGCCCCCUUUACCAUGGCAACAUCUCUGGGCCGUCGCGUGUGUGGAGGACUUUUUUUGACCAUGACAGCUAAUUCUGAGUCUUGUUACCUCCAUGCGUGGAGGAAGGCACAGGCCCCGCUGUAUGGAGGGCAGCCCCCUCUGCCCCAAGGUGGGGAGCCCAGGCUGAAAGUUCACACUGCCGAGGUGGGAGUCUUGUUUAGAAGGUAAGAAAAGUGGCCAGGCCCGGUGGCUCAUGCCUGCAAUCCCAGAACUUUGGGACGCCAAGGCAGAUGGAUCACCUGAGAUCAGGAGUUCGAGACCAGUCUGGCCAAUAUGGUGAAACCCUGUCUCUAUUAAAAAUACAAAAAUUAGCUGGGUGUGGUGGCUCACACCUGUAAUCCCAACUACCUGGGAGGCUGAGGCAGGAGAAUCGCUUAAACCUGGGAGGUGGAGGUUGCAGUGAGCCGAGAUCGUGCCACUGCACUCCAGCCUGAGUGACAGAGUGAGAUCCUGUCUCAAAAAAAAAAAAAAAAAAAAAAAAAAAAGCAGAAGAAGAGAAGAAGAAAAAGAAAAAAGAAAAGCCCGUGGGCUUUGGACACAGGGCCUGGGGGAUGCCCGUUUCAUCUCCACAGCAGCUCCUAGAAGACGGAAACACUUGAUGAGGCAGGGAAGGUGGCCGAGGCGUGGGAUCUGCCCAUUCUUCAGGUAUUUAGAUGGCACCGAGCCACCCCUCUGGGCCUGUGCCCUCAUGAGGGCUGUGCUGGGAGGGAGGCUGGGGCUGGAAGCCGGGGUUCCCCACCUGGCAAUGGGAGAGGGUCUGGCUGAAGCCAAGACCCAUUGAGGCUGUAGGGUCCUGUGCACCAGAUGGUUGGGAAAGGGGUGAGGCUGGUUGGGGAGGAGGCCUUCACCCCACAGCCAGGAAGCUCUGUGGGGGAGGACACAGAUGUAGAUGUAAGAGCCUGUGAAUGCUGUGGCCCGGGCUCCCCUGGACUCUGAAUAUCCGCCUCCUGCAGGCCCAGGGGACCAGGACAAUCUUCCCGCCUGCACAGGUUGAGGACAGAGGCUCAGAAAGGUGCAGUGGCUUGCCCAAGGUUGCACCGGGUUACCAGUGCUGGAAACCAAGUCUCCUCACCACCUUCCCAGCCACUCCCCUUUCUACCAUAGCUUGGUGCCCACUGCUCCCUACCCUGCCCCUUUUCCCGCCCUCCUCAUGCCCCAUGGCCUCUGUAGGUACUGUACUGGAAGCCCAGCACUUUCUAGCCUGGGGCCAGAUGGCUGCAAGGCAGGCAGUGGGUGUGGGGGCUGAGGCCUGUGGUGCUGGGCCCGCCAGCCCUGGGGGAAAUCCUGGGACAGCCUUCCUGCAGGAAGCCUACUGCUUCUCCUGGUGGUCUUAGAAUCAAACUUUCUAUAGAGGGGCUUGGGAAGCCAUUUUGUGCAAACUCCCUCUCAACACAUAGUAAAAAGCCAUACGUGGCCGGGCAUGGUGGCUCAUGCCUCUAAUCCCAGCACUUUGGGAGGAUCACCUGAGGUCAGGAGUUCGAGACCAGCCUGACCAACAUGAUGAAACCCC